rnacentral:rRNA from 1 species
GACGAACGCUGGCGGUGUGCUUCACACAUGCAAGUCGAACGGGGUAGCAAUACCCAGUGGCGGACGGGUGAGUAACGCGUAGAAAUCUGCCUUGAGAUGGGGGAUAACAGUCCGAAAGGAUUGCUAAUACCGCAUAUGUGUGCGCUCGGACACGAGUGUACAUGAAAGGAGUAAUCCGUCUCAAGAUGAGUCUGCGUCCGAUUAGCUAGUUGGUAGGGUAAAGGCCUACCAAGGCGACGAUCGGUAGCUGGUCUGAGAGGAUGAUCAGCCACAAUGGGACUGAGACACGGCCCAUACUCCUACGGGAGGCAGCAGUGGGGAAUUUUGUGCAAUGGGGGAAACCCUGACACAGCGACACCGCGUGAACGAAGAAGCCCUUUGGGGUGUAAAGUUCUGUCGGCUGGAACGAAAAAUGACGGUACCAGCAAAGGAAGCAAUCGGCUAACUACGUG